CUUCUCUUUUGAGCCAUUUCAUCCUCCUUCCCAACCACUGCAUCCACAUUCCUCCCUCCACAUUAACCUCCUUUACCCUGUGCUCUUUCCUCACAGGCCCCUAGAGUAGCAGCUACAUCAUUACCCCCAGUCCCCUCAGUAACAUGUUGGUAAGAGGGUAGGAAAUUCAGGGAUACUUGCUAUUUAAAAAUUCCCCCACAAUGGCUUCAGUUGGUUUGGGUUUAGGGAAGGAGACUUCAAAGGGUGACUGUUCUCAGAUUUAGGACAGUGAGCACAAGAGGAGGAUGAAACAAGACACCCUGUCUUGCCUGCCGGCUGCUUGACAGCAACCAGGGACAAUAGGGUCACCAGUCCUUUUCCCAAGGUCCACUGGGUCUCCCUCUUCUUUUUAUUUUUCCCCUUCCCCUGUCCUACUUGUAAUUAAAGAGACAGAAUAAAAAUGUGCUCCAGAUACAGAGAGACGAUCUCCACCUUUGUCCCUAUUUCACAGCAGCAUCUUAGAAUAAGACCAAGAAGACUGAUCUUUGGAAGGGCACCUUCCUUAAGAGCAGCAGAAAGGGUGGGAGGACCAGCUUCCCAGUAGCAUCUUGCUGUACUAGCAUGGUACAUGGGCCACCAUGAGUGCUGCCAUGUGGGUGAAAACUUAUACAUCACCAGAAACUAUACCUAAAAUGCCAUUAGAGGAAAUUCGAGGGUGAUGGGAAAUGAGCAGAGAUCCUGUCAGGCUUAAUACUGGUGAGGAAGCUUCAGUUUACUAAUCCAACUAGGAUGGGCUAUGCACCUACUGGACACUACAGGAAGGUUAUGGGCAUCCCAGCACCAUGGACCGAUAACAACAGCACCUGCAAAUAAGGCAACUAAGGAGACAUAUUGCUGCAAGUUGUUUAGUUGCUGAGUUGUGUGCAUGGACUGUCCCAUGGACAGUUCUCUGUCCCAGGCAAGAAUACUGGAGUGGGUUGCCAUUUCUUCUCCAGGGGAUCUUCCUGACCCAGGGAUCGAAUCUUCGUCGACUGCAUUGGCAGGUGGAUUCUUUACUGCUGAGCCAUCUAGGAAGCCCAUAGCUAAAAGGAAACAUCUCAGAAAAUACUGGAGAAGGCUUCCUGAAGAGGGACCCUACCUGUGUUCCUGCCAAUCUCCUGGCUCUGUCUAUGCUCAGGAUGGAAAGACCUACAUGUAUGGAGGGUGUGUCACCAUUACAGCCCAUGGAAGAAAGUACCUAUUUCACCAAUACCUGCAAGGUCUUUGACAAACUACAGAGACCAUGAAGAGGACUUCCCUGGUAGCUCAGCUGGUAAAGGAUUGCCUUCAAUGCAGGAGACUCUGGUUUGAUUUCUGGGUCGGGAGGAACCCCUGGAGAAUGGAUAGGCUACGUACUCCAGUGUUCUUGGGCUUCCCUGGUGGCUAAGACGAUAAAGAAUCUGCCUGCAGUGCAGCAGACUUCGGUUCGAUCCCUGGAUUGGGAAGAUCCUCUGGACGAGGGCAUGGCAACCACUCCAGUUUUCUUGACUGGAGAAUCCCCACAGACAGAGGAGCCUGGCAGGCUACAGUCCAUGGGGUCACAAAAAGUUGGACACGACUGAACGACUAAGCACACAAAAAAUGCAAUCAGGCCAGCAUGGUUGGAGCAUGGUGAGUGAGAGAAGGAAGGACCAAAGGCCUGGGUUUGUUGCCCAGCUCUGCUAUUUAUUGGCUGUGUGACCUUGGGGAGUUCAUUUAGACUUUCUGAGCAGCAGUUUUCUCAUCUGACAAAUGGAGAUAUUACCACACUGAAGCAGUUGAAAGGAUUAAGAGAGAUAAUGCAAGUUCUUUGUAAAUGAUACACCAAUAAGGUAUUAUGUUUCCGUGCUGCUCUAAGUGUAAUAAAUACUGAAAGCAUCUGAAGGUGUGGAUGAGU
rnacentral:lncRNA from 1 species